rnacentral:rRNA from 1 species
AGAGUUUGAUCAUGGCUCAGAACGAACGCUGGCGGCAUGCCUAACACAUGCAAGUCGAACGGGAUCCUGGCUUCGGUCAGGUGAGAGUGGCGGACGGGUGAGUAACGCGUGGGAACCUGCCCAGUGGUGGGGGAUAACUGCGGGAAACUGCAGCUAAUACCGCAUGAGCCCGAGAGGGGAAAGAUUUAUCGCCAUUGGAGGGGCCCGCGUUCGAUUAGGUAGUUGGUGGGGUAAUGGCCUACCAAGCCGACGAUCGAUAGCUGGUCUGAAAGGAUGAUCAGCCACACUGGGACUGAGAUACGGCCCAGACUCCUACGGGAGGCAGCAGUGGGGAAUAUUGGACAAUGGGGGCAACCCUGAUCCAGCAAUGCCGCGUGAGUGAUGAAGGCCUUCGGGUUGUAAAGCUCUUUUGCCAGGGACGAUGAUGACGGUACCUGGAGAAUAAGCCCCGGCUAACUUCGUGCCAGCAGCCGCGGUAAUACGAAGGGGGCAAGCGUUGUUCGGAAUUACUGGGCGUAAAGGGCGCGUAGGCGGCUUAUCAAGUCAGGCGUGAAAUUCCCGGGCUCAACCUGGGGGCUGCGCUUGAUACUGAUGAGCUUGAAUGCGGGAGAGGAUAGUGGAAUUCCCAGUGUAGAGGUGAAAUUCGUAGAUAUUGGGAAGAACACCAGUGGCGAAGGCGGCUAUCUGGCCCGUUAUUGAC